UACGUAGGGUGCUAGCGUUGUUCGGAAUCACUGGGCGUAAAGGGUGCGCAGGCGGGCACUUAAGUCAGGGGUGAAAUCCCGAGGCUCAACCUCGGAACUGCCUUUGAUACUGGGUGUCUUGAGUCCGGAAGAGGUGAGUGGAACUGCGAGUGUAGAGGUGAAAUUCGUAGAUAUUCGCAAGAACACCGGUGGCGAAGGCGGCUCACUGGUCCGGAACUGACGCUGAGGCACGACAGCGUGGGGAGCAAACAGG
rnacentral:rRNA from 1 species